rnacentral:rRNA from 1 species
UACGAAGGGGGCUAGCGUUGUUCGGAAUUACUGGGCGUAAAGCGCGCGCAGGCGGUCUUCCAAGUCAGUGGUGAAAGCCCGGAGCUCAACUCCGGAACUGCCAUUGAAACUGUUGGACUUGAGUACGAGAGAGGUGAGUGGAAUUCCCAGUGUAGAGGUGAAAUUCGUAGAUAUUGGGAAGAACACCAGUGGCGAAGGCGGCUCACUGGCUCGUAACUGACGCUCAUGCACGACAGCGUGGGGAUCAAACAGG